GUCCACGCCGUAAACGAUGGGUGCUAGGUGUGGGCGGUGUCGACUCCGUCCGUGCCGAAGCUAACGCAUUAAGCACCCCGCCUGGGGAGUACGGCCGCAAGGCUAAAACUCAAAGGAAUUGACGGGGGCCCGCACAAGCAGCGGAGCAUGUGGUUCAAUUCGACGCGACGCGAAGAACCUUACCAGGGCUUGACAUGCACUGGAAAGCCGUAGAAAUACGGCCCCCUUCGGGGCCGGUGCACAGGUGGUGCAUGGCUGUCGU
rnacentral:rRNA from 1 species